rnacentral:rRNA from 1 species
GGACGAACGCUGGCGGCGUGCUUAACACAUGCAAGUCGAACGCUGAAGCUUGGUGCUUGCACUGGGUGGAUGAGUGGCGAACGGGUGAGUAAUACGUGAGUAACCUGCCCUUGACUCUGGGAUAAGCCUGGGAAACUGGGUCUAAUACUGGAUACGACAUGCCACUGCAUGGUGGUGUGUGGAAAGGGUUUUACUGGUUUUGGAUGGGCUCACGGCCUAUCAGCUUGUUGGUGGGGUAAUGGCCUACCAAGGCGACGACGGGUAGCCGGCCUGAGAGGGUGACCGGCCACACUGGGACUGAGACACGGCCCAGACUCCUACGGGAGGCAGCAGUGGGGAAUAUUGCACAAUGGGCGGAAGCCUGAUGCAGCGACGCCGCGUGAGGGAUGACGGCCUUCGGGUUGUAAACCUCUUUCAGCACGGAAGAAGCGAGAGUGACGGUACGUGCAGAAGAAGCGCCGGCUAACUACGUG